rnacentral:tRNA from 1 species
GCGGGGAUGGCCCAGCCCGGUAAGGCGUAGGAUUGCUAAUCCUAUGUUCGCAAGAACUCAGGGGUUCAAAUCCCCUUCCCCGCGCCA